GACUGGGUGGUGUAGAGGUAACACAUCUGCAUUGAAUCUCGCACGACGUUGCUCUAUCAUCUUCUGCGGAUGAUCCCUAUUCGAUUCAGGGUCCAGUCA